UACGAGGGGUGCAAGCGUUGCUCGGAUUCAUUGGGCGUAAGGGUGUGUAGGUGGCGCGCUAAGUCGGGUGUGAAAGUUUCGGAGCUUAACUCCGAAACUGCAUUUGAUACUGGCGUGCUUGAGGACUGGAGAGGAGACUGGAAUUCGAUGGUGUAGCAGUGAAAUGCGUAGAGAUCAUGAGGAAGACCAGUGGCGAAGGCGG
rnacentral:rRNA from 1 species